ensembl:lincRNA
GAGAGAGACUUUGAAGGCUGUGUAGAGGAGCCUGAGAUUUCAACUGACUGACUUGAGAUACAACCAGCCCUCGUGAAUGCAGUUCAGACUAAAAGCCCAAGGAAAGAGUGGGGGCUGCCAGGGCCCCCCCACCCGGCCAUCCAUCCACCAACAGGUAAAGUUCUUGGGAAACUGGGCAGUGUCUCCAGGGAAAGCACCAAUCAGGCAAAUUUCUAUCACUUACAUAUACUGUGUCCCCAGCCCUGAGCUUCACACCAGGAGGGGCCAGGAAAGUCAAGUCUGGAAGAAAAGAUGCUCAGCUGAGUGUCGAAAUUCAGUGACAAAUGCAGGAGGUACUGAGGAUCCCAGAAGAAAGUGCAGUGGGCCCUGCUGGGCCUGGGAAAAGCUGGAUUUGAGCCUAGGCCAGAGCAGAAUGGAAAGAAGCUGCUAGCAGGACAGAGGAAAGCAAGAGGAGUAUUAUCUGGAAAAAUGUAACUCAAAAAUGAAGCAGAGAGACAAGCAUUCCACACCAAGUGUGUUCACGUGAAUUCCAAGUCAUUAGGACGGAGAAUGGGCUGUCACUGAAUCGAGGAACUGGAGAGAUUGUGAAAGUACCGAAUUUUAGAAGUGGAAAUUGCCUUGGCUUCUUGGGGCCCAACCUCCUCAACUUUUCAGCUAACGAAAUUCCAGCUUGGUGGGAAGUCUCGGACACUUGUUAAUCAGGAUGGGGUAGGCACCAGGCCUAGAGCCAGGCUCUCCCAACUCCCAGGUUUACAACGCCAAUCUGUUGUCAUCUCUCCGGGGACAGUGAGGUUAUGUAUGAGGUGACUGUUCCUAAGCUCCCAGGUCUGGGGCUGUGGCCUCCUCUACCCUCGGAACCCCUGGAUGGAGGGCACUGUCCCCCAGCCUACUUGGGGGACUUCUCUAGGAGUUUGAGUCCCUUCUGGAGCCGAUCCAUGUCCCACCCCACGGGGAGAUCAGAGAUCGGAGAUGCGGGGGAACUCUGAGCUGGGCUGUACUGACUUCUCAAGUUCCCUCACCUUGUCAGGCCCUUUGUAACAUGAUUCUCCUUUCUUACCAUGAGGAUUCUCUCUUCCGUCCAGUCCCCUAACUCCCCUACUUGAAGGCAGCACCUCCUUUUCACUGAGCUACGCUUUGGGGGGCUGGGUGCCCCGUACAUGCUCUGCAGCCAUGCUAGUGCCAUAACACGCUUUUCAGCAUGAGUGGGUUGCGCCUGGACUUCCUUUACUGCCUGGAUUAUUGAAGUGGCUCCUAAGAGAUCCUCCUGUUGCUGCUCAUCACGCUAAGCAGCCACAGGGAUUCUGCUCAGAACCCACUAUAACGUGACCCUCCUCUGCUCUCUGGCAGUGCUGUGGCCCCUCCCAUCUGCCCCUUUUGUCUACACUUCCUCCACUGCAGCCACGUGGGCUCCCAGACGCUCCUUGGACGCCCAGGCCUGCACCUGCCUCAGGUCCUUUGCACUGGUUGGCCUCCCUCUCUGGAGCCCCCUUCUCCCAGACUGCUAUGCGCCUCACUCCAUCACCUCCACCAAGUCUUCAGACCGAGUCUUCUCAGUGAGCCCCUCCCUGGCCACAGUUCUACCCCGGAAGUCUGCGUCUCCUCUCACCACACAGUCCUCUUCCAGAAUGCGGCACGCCUUCUGAUCUGUCGGACAGCUUAUUUUUCAUUACUUUUAAUGUUGUGUGUUGCCCUCUUCUAGAGUAGGCUGUAGGGUGAGGGUGUUGAGUUCGUGGAGGUUUCCAUAGCACCAAGAGUUGAGGGUACAAGACAGACACUCAAAAAGUACUUGUUGAAGGCUGGGUGUGAUGGCGUAUUCCUGUAACCCCAGCACUUGAGAAGCCGAGACGGGAAGAUUACUGAGAGUUUGAGGCCAGCAUGGACUUCACUGUGAGACAAUGUUUCAAACAGACAAGUAAUCGAACCGCCCCCAAAAUGAAACAAAACAAACACAAAUAUGUUGAACGAAUGCAAAAAGUAGGCAGAAAUUAGGAACCAGGAAACCUUUCCCCCGUCAGGAAAGAAUGCAGAACAGGUCGAAGAAAACAUUCAGCCAGAAGGAACUCUGUUCAGGGAUGAGAACUGUGGUAUGCGUCAGAGGGAAGAGGGGCUUCCAAGUUCCAUCCCACAUCCCCAUGUCUGACUUUCAGGCCUACAAGCCUAGUCUUCAUUUCCUGUGCCUGUGAGCCUCGCUUUGGCAGCUCUUUGAGGGGCUGCCUGCUGAAGCAUUCCCUCCUCUCUCACUCAGUCGUUCUUCAUUCAUCACCCGUGCAGGCACCAGAGCUACACCCACUUUCGCCCUUAGGGAGACCAUAGAGCAGAGGGCACAGAGACCUACGGCGUGGACCACCGCCAGGCCAGGUGGAAGUCCCUCCUGAGCGGCAGAUACGGGAGGUCAGCGGAUGGGACACCCCUUGGGGCUGAG